UACGUAGGGUGCGAGCGUUGUCCGGAAUUAUUGGGCGUAAAGGGCUCGUAGGCGGUUUGUCGCGUCGGGAGUGAAAACUCAGGGCUUAACCCUGAGCCUGCUCCGAUACGGGCAGACUAGAGUAUGCAGGGGAGAACGGAAUUCCUGGUGUAGGCGGUGAAAUGCGUAGAUAUCGGGAGGAACACCGAGGCGGAGGAGGCGAAG
rnacentral:rRNA from 1 species